GGAUUUUAGUCAAUAGUCAAAGAGGUGCCUCGCAUGUAGGAUUGUAGUCAAUAAUCAAAGAGGUGCCUCACAUGUAGGAUUGUAGUCAAUAGUCAAAGAGGUGCCUCGCAUGUAGGAUUGUAGUCAAUAGUCAAAGAGGUGCCUCGCAUGUAGGAUUGUAGUCAAUAGUCAAAGAGGUGCCUCGCAUGUAGGAUUGUAGUCAAUAGUCAAAGAGGUGCCUCGCAUGUAGGAAUGUAGUCAAUUGUCAAAGUGGAGAAAUGGCACUUAAUUUAUACAUGUACAUGCGUUGUGUUUUCAAAUAACUACCUCUAGGUUAUUUGACUAACACGGUCUUUGACUAAAAGUAAAAACUGA